UUUACAUCAGAGCAGUUUCAUGCAUAGUGCUUCAAUCUGAAUCUGAUAUCAGCCUUGAAAGAUGAGUAAAGGAGACAUGAGGGAAUGGACAGCAAGCAAUUUAACCAAAGCCACAUACAGUUAUUUUGCUCCCUGCUCAAGUUCAAGGCUCCCAUAUCCUUAGAUCAGUUCCAAGAGUCUACAGGAAGCUGCUGGCUCAGAAAACCAAUGGUUCUGCAUAAAGAGAUAUCCGUGGCUCUGCUAAGGUUUGGAUCGGGCAUUGGGAGCCCCAUCUGGAUCUCCAUGGGAUAACCACAUUGGUUUGUUUAGUAAACACUGAGACCAACUCCACCAUCCAGAGGCCUGACAGACAAAUGGCCUGAGACAGGGCUGGGAAAGUUUUGCUUCUGGUUGGGACUUCAGGAAGAGUUUUGUUUUGUUUUGUUUUCCCCCAAGGGAACAAGCCCUUGAAUCCGGGAGGCCAAGGUUGCGGUGAACCGAGAUUGCGCCAUUGCACUCCAGCCUGGGCAACAAGAGCGAAACUCCGUCUCAAAAACAUAAAAAGUAAAAAAGAUAUGUACGUCAAUGUCAGACUUUCUGUGCUGGAUGGAAGGACUCUGAGCCUACCAAAGGAAGCGUAUUUACAAACCUCUAGGUACUGACUUGUUGCUGAAGGUCAGAAAUUUGCAAUGACAUUUGGAUGUAUUCAAGGGUGGAGGGGCAGGUUUGGGGAAAGUUCUUUUAAAGAAAAAAUGCAAAAUUUGAUUACAAGAAGCUGGGGUGCCUCCCAGGGCCUCGGAAAGGGCUUGCACAAGUGAAGCACCCUGAAGAUAAUGCUUCAUUAGCUUUACAGUGAAGCCACCUCUGAAUCUCUGUUUGGUGUUUGUCCAAAAUAUUCCAAGUUGAAGGCAGGCCUGAUUAUAUGAUCGCACAGCAAUUUUCCUGGGGAAAAGUCUUUUGCUGCCAGUUCUUCCUCUGCUAUGAAUAGGUCUUAGUCUCGUGCUCUCUUUUCUAUCUAUACCCUCUCCCUACUCCAGGGGUCCCCAACCCUUGGGCCACAGGAACCAGGCCACACAGCAGGAAGUGAGCAGGGCGAGCGAAGCUUCAUCCCUAUUUACAGCUGCUCCCCAUUGUUUGCCUUAUGCCUGAUCUCUGCCUCCUGUUAGGUCAGCAGUGGCAUUAGAUUCUCAUAGGAGUGUGAAUGCUAUUGUGAACCGCCCAUGCGAGGGAUCUAGGUUGCACACUUCCUAUGAGAAUCUAAUGCCUGAUGAUCUGUCACUCUCUCCUAUCACCCCCAGAUGGGACCAUCUAGUUGCGGGAAAACGAGCUCAGGGCUCCCACUGAUUCUACAUUAUGGUGAGUUGUGUAGACAAAAAGAGUCCAACUGUAAAAUAUUUGAAGAUAUUUAUUCUGAGCCAAAUAUAAGUGACCAGAGCCCGU
rnacentral:lncRNA from 1 species